GACGGGGGGGGGCAAGUGUUCUUCGGAAUGACUGGGCGUAAAGGGCCCGUAGGCGGUGAAUCGGGUUGAAAGUGAAAGUCGCCAAAAAGUGGCGGAAUGCUCUCGAAACCAAUUCACUUGAGUGAGACAGAGGAGAGUGGAAUUUCGUGUGUAGGGGUGAAAUCCGUAAAUAUACGAAGGAACGCCAAAAGCGAAGGCAGCUCUCUGGGUCCCUACCGACGCUGGGGUGCGAAAGCAUGGGGAGCGAACAGG
rnacentral:rRNA from 1 species